UACAGAGGUCCCGAGCGUUGUUCGGAUUCACUGGGCGUAAAGGGCGCGUAGGCGGGAUGGCAAGUCGGUCGUGAAAUCCUUCGGCUCAACCGAAGAACGUCGAUCGAUACUGCUGUUCUUGAGGGUUGCAGAGGAGACUGGAAUUCCCGGUGUAGCGGUGAAAUGUGUAGAGAUCAUGAGGAAGACCAGUGGCGAAGGCGGGUCUCUGGACAGUUCCUGACACUGAGACACGAAGGCCAGGGGAGCAAACGGG
rnacentral:rRNA from 1 species